rnacentral:rRNA from 1 species
AUGGAGAGGAUACCGAUACCAAUCGCGAUGCUGCCGCAGAAGUCGAGCAGCUUCUCUCAGGCCACCAUCCGCGAGGAUAAGCUCGGCCGCAACCUCUCCCUCGGCGCCAUCAAGCUAAAUGAGCACAUCGAGCGCGCCAAGAAGGAUGCCGCCGAAGCCGCCGGCGAUAAGAAGGCGGCAGCGGGUGGCGGAGAGGGUGCCCCCCCGGACGGCUCCGGGGUCGGUGAGACGCCCGAGCCGCCGCCGCAUGAGGAGCCUGACCUCGCCGAGCUCUCUGCGGAGGUCGACGCCUUCCUCGCAAGCCGGGACGGGGACGCCCCGCUGAGCAUCUCGGAGGUGACGCUCGACAGGUUCGCCUCCGCCGUGGAGGUGGAGAUAGCGCAGUCGGAGGAAAAGGAGGGUAAGUGGGCGCUGGGGGAGGGCGGCGAGCAGCCGCUUCUCCUCGCCGCGAUCAAGCGCAUCGUCACGCUCGCAUCCGCGCUCACCGCAACCGGUGGCGGCAAUGGCACGGAGGGGGCCGUCAAGUACACCAUUGGCGUACACCGCGUCACCGGCGUGCUCCACCGCUCCAUGACGUUCCUCGAGGACGAGCUCCACGCGCUGCUCGAGGACCCAUGCCUCGCCAAAACGCCCAAGGCCAGCGAGUCCGGCAGCGCUACCGCCAAGUCCAUGAAGCGCCCGCCGUCGUUCGGGCAAGGUGGCGACCCAGAUCGGCCCGUCGUUCCUCCCACUGAGGGCGGCAGUGCAGGCGACGACGCCUCCCAGUUCCAGCCGUUCCCCGCGGAGACCGUGGACCAUCUCCGCGCCAUGGCCGAGGUCAUGAUCACCGCGGGCUACGAGACGGAGUGCAUACAGGUGUUCCUCGUGGCGCGCAGGAACGCGCUGGACGCCACGAUGCAAAGCCUCGGGUACGAGAAGGCGAGCAUUGACGAUGUGGUGAAGAUGUCAUGGGAGGGGCUCGAGUCGGAGAUCGGGACAUGGAUCAAGGCGUUCCGGCACAUCCUCAACGCCGGCCUCUCCGCCGAGCACGACCUCUGCGUCCGUCUAUUCGUUGGCCGCAACGCCGGCCUUGGCCGCGAUAUCUUUGCGGACCUGGCCCGCUGCGCCAUGCUCCAGAUGUUUAACUUCACGGAGGCCGUGGCUAUGACCAAGCGCGCCGCCGAGAAGCUCUUCAAGGUGCUCGACAUGUACGAGGCUAUCCGCGAUGGAGCCCCCGUCGUGGACGGCCUCAUCUCCACGAACAAAGCCGAAGGCGGCGAGAACAGCAGCGGCGCCGAAGCGCUGGCCGACCUCAAGUCCGAGCUCGCGUCUGUGCGGUCCCGCCUAGGCGAGUCGGCCGCCGCCAUCUUCUGCGACCUUGAGAGCUCCAUCCGUGCCGACGCCGGAAAGCAGCCUGUCCCCGGCGGUGCGGUGCACCCGCUGACACGCUACCUGAUGAACUACCUCAAGUACGCGUGCGAAUACAAGAACACGCUGGAGCAGGUGUUCCGGGAGUUCCACCGGCCGGACGCCGUCGACUCCCCCGGGCACGAAGGCGAGAGCAACCCGUUCGCGGCGCAGCUGAUGGAGGUGAUGGAGCUCCUCCACGGGAACCUGGAGGCCAAGUCGAAGCUGUACAAGGACCUGGCGCUGAGCAGCAUCUUCCUGAUGAACAACGGGCGGUACAUGCUGCAGAAGAUCCGGGGCUCGCCGGAGAUCAACGCGGUGGUCGGCGAGGCGUGGGCGAGGAAGCGGUCGACGGACCUCCGGCAGUACCACAAGAACUACCAGCGCGAGACGUGGGGCCGCGUGCUGAACGUGCUCCGCGACGACGGCGGGAUCACGGUGAAGGGGCACGUGCAGAAGCCGGUGCUCAAGGAACGGUUCAAGCAGUUCAACGCGGCCAUAGACGAGAUCCAGCGGACGCAGGGCGCGUGGGUGGUGAGCGACGAGCAGCUGCAGUCGGAGCUCCGGGUAUCCAUCACCGCCGUCGUGGUGCCGGCGUACCGGUCCUUCCUCGGCCGCUUCGCUCAGCACUUCACCGCGGGGAGGCAGACGGAGAAGUACAUCAAGUUGAGCGCAGACGACCUCGAGGGCAUCAUCGAGGAGCUCUUCGAGGGCAGCGCCGGGUCCAUGUCAAGGAGAAGAAAUUAA